GAAAAAAUCGAUAGCAUUCACCGACGAAUAUCGAUGGAAUGACAAGUGUCGAAAAAAUAUAUAUGCCAAAUUCAUAUUUGAAAAUGGAUAACAUCACUGCUCAAUUUUCUGGAGUCAGAGAAGGGUUUGGCCGAGGGAAAGUUUGUGGGAAGGAAAGUACAAGAAAAAAGUGGUUAGAGAUUGCUGAAGACCUAAACAAUAUCUCUGGAGCGGUAAAAACUCUAGAACAGUAGCAAACGGUUUGGCGCGACCUCAAGUUUAAAACGUCAUCAAAAUUUAAGACCAGUAUCCAUCCUUAAGGUAAAUUCUACUGAUGUAGUUUGCCUCUCGAAGCCGGUCCAAAAUCGACUGGAUUCGAGGUAGAGGAUAGGCGUCGGGGUCGGAUUUGGCAUUAAGGUGACGAAAAUCCAUACAGAGUCUCCAAGCUCCGUUUUUCUUUCGUGCAAGAGUAAUUGGAGAACUGUAAGGACUAUGUGAUUGUUCAAUAAAUCCGUUCGCCAAUAACUCACUGAUUUUGGCAUCGAUCACUUCUUGCAUAGUCGGGUUGCGGGCCGCAUAACGUAAUUUAAAUGAACGAUCGUCUGUCAUGACUAUACGGUGCGUUGCGGCCGUAGACGGUCCAUGAAUAUCUCUGAAUUUCUGUAGUUCCUGGUCUAGGAAGCUCUGGAUCCGUUUUUGCUCCUCUAUGGUCGGUGGCUUUGCCGACACAGAAGCCUCUAGGACGUUCUGGCCGUCCAACGUCCUCUGACACCGUUGAUCGGGCAUUCCGCAAUUACACGUAAUGCUGGUGUUCAAAUGCUGUUUUGACUCUGAUGCUUCUCUAGUCGUUGUAAAAACGCAGGAUAGCCCAGCCAUCGUCUGGCGAGCACCGAUCUUUGCCAGAAGAUCAAGCCCGAUGAUUAGGUAUUCCGUGGCAUCUGGCAUGAUCAAGAGACGAGCGUGCACAAGUUGACAGCCUAAUUCAAUAGCUGUUUCGACAGCAUGUUGCACAUUACGUUGGGAUCCAUCUGCCAAAGUCACCAGAGACGAGCAAGGUAUGACGAAUGACGUGGUGGCUCCUGUAUCUACCGUGGCAGCGAUUUUUCGUCCAGCGAUCCCAACGGUGGCCACCAACCUGUUGCGUGCCAUGUGGCGUGUCGUGUCUAAUUGAGGGGCUCCUUUUCGAACUGCGGACCCGUCUCCCCUCUUUCCUGUGGGUUCCGGUACCCAUUUCCCGCUGCUCGUUUCCGACAGCAUUCUAUGGAACGGAUACCUCUUCGUCCGCAAUCCCAGCAGAAUAAAAUUCCUUCUUUUCGACAGCCUGCGGCGAAAUAACCAUCUUGCCCGCAUCUACGACAGGCCAUUCGUGGAUUGAUCGGGGACUGGCGGGGUAUGUUUGGUAUGCUUUCAGUGGGAUCUAAACGCCGGUGUUGUUCUUUGGAUGGUGUCAUUAACGGUGGUAGACUCUCCAAGUCUUCGACCAUCGAUAUCAGUUCGUGCAGGCUCUGAAAGUCACGCCGCCGGAUGUACCACAGGUAUUCUGGCAGCGCUUUCAAUAAAUAUUUCCAAACGGAGCUACGUCCCAUCUCUUCGUCAGCUUCUGAGUAUGCAUAUGUACCGGGAUCUAAAAAAAAUUUAAAAGAAUAGAUUAUGUUGCAUUUUGUAAGGUUUAUUUAUGAGUAUACAAAAUUUUCACCCGAUAUGGUGGAGGUAUCAGAAGGAGUAAUCCCAACUUCAUACCAGAUCUGUAGUGGAAUUCUCUAAUUAUUUUUUCUAUCGAAUCGGUAUCGUUCAAUACCGAAUAAUGUCGGUUGAGAUACCGAUUGUGUUAUUCUACAAAUACAAGUAACCGACGGAAAAAAUCGAUAGCAUUUACCGACGAAUAUCGAUGGAAUGACAAGUGUCGAAAAAAUAUAUAUGCCAAAUUCAUAUUUGAAAAUGAAUAACAUGAAAAGGACACGAUGUCCCAGGGCAAGCAUGGCGCAACACGCAGCACUGCUCAAUUUUCUGGAGUCAGAGAAGGGUUUGGCCGAGGGAAAGUUUGAGGGAAGGAAAGUGCAAGAAAAAAGUGGUUAGAGAUUGCUGAAAACCUAAACAAUAUCUCUGGAGCGGUAAAAACUCUAGAACAGUGGCAAACGGUUUGGCGCGACCUCAAGUUUAAAACGUCAUCAAAAUUUAAGACCUUAAAACGGGAAAGAAAUGCCACUGGUAAUAUGCCGUUUACCAAGGAAUUCCUCAACUCUAUCGAGGAGAGAGUAGUCGCCAUGGUUGGAUGGGAAUACAUGAAUGUCCCGACAGUCUAGAAAUUGAAGUGGAAAAUACUCUUAACGUGUUAAUAAAUGAAGACACAAGCCAACAUGAUGUAAACACCUAUGAAGUGGAAGUUUUGUAGGAUGAGAUUGACGCAUUACAAAAUCACACUUCUUUCAAACAUGGUACACAAGAAAUCGACAAAUCCUCGUAUAAUAAACGUCUGAAGAAAGACAGCAACAACAAAGAAGAGUUUUUGAAAAUAGCCAAAACACAAGCUGAAGCAUUAUUGGUAAUGCUUUCAGUAGCUUUCCUACAGUUUGCUAAUUUCUUAUAGUUGGCAUCUUAUAUUCGUGCCUUCGAAAUUCUUACUUAAAAGAUCAUUUCUAUUUUGAUACAUUUCAUAUUGUUUCUGUGUUUCUUUUAGAUCCUUGCCAAUGCCCAAAAGGAAACUGCACAGGCAAUGGUUAAAAUAUCGGAAAACUUUGCAUUUCUUGGUGAAAUUUUAGCGGCUCAAAAUAGAAUUGAAAAUUGUGUCAGCAACUAUUUUUCUAUUUUAAAAUUAUUUUAUGUGCUUAAGAUACUAUGUACAUAUGUAAAUAUCAGAAAUGUAAAAAAUCAAUUUUAAAUAAAGUCCUGCCAAAAUAA